UACGUAGGUGACCAGCGUUGUCCGGAUUUACUGGGCGUAAAGAGCGCGCAGGCGGUCGUUCAAGUCGAGUGUGAAAGCCCCCGGCUCAACUGGGGAGGGUCAUUCGAUACUGAUCGACUUGGAAGGCAGGAGAGGGAAGCGGAAUUCCCGGUGUAGUGGUGAAAUGCGUAGAUAUCGGGAGGAACACCUGUGGCGAAAGCGGCUCACUGGACCACAACUGACGCUGAGGCGCGAAAGCUAGGGGAGCAAACAGG
rnacentral:rRNA from 1 species